rnacentral:rRNA from 1 species
AACAAACGCUGGCGGCGUGCCUAAUACAUGCAAGUCGAACGGGGAAAGCUUUCGGGUGAGUACUAGUGGCGCACGGGUGAGUAACGCGUGGAUAAUCUGCCUUAGAGUGGGGGAUAACUAGUCGAAAGAUUAGCUAAUACCGCAUAAGACCACAAGAACUGCGGUUCAAGAGGUCAAAGGUUUUUCGCUCUAAGAUGAGUCCGCGUAAGAUUAGCUAGUUGGUGAGGUAACGGCUCACCAAGGCAACAAUCUUUAACUGGUCUGAGAGGAUGAUCAGUCACAAUGGAACUGAGACACGGACCAAACUCCUACGGGAGGCAGCAGUAGGGAAUAUUGCACAAUGGAGGAAACUCUGAUGCAGCGACGCCGCGUGAGUGAUGAAGGCCUUCGGGUCGUAAAGCUCUGUCGCAGGGGAAUAACACAAUGAAUGUACCCUGUAAGAAAGGAUCGGCUAACUUCGUGCCAGCAGCCGCCGUAAAAC